AAUAAUAUAGUAUAUCAGUACAUUUGAUUUCCAAUCAAAUAGAAAAGAAUAAAAAUUUAUUUUCUUAUAU
rnacentral:tRNA from 1 species